rnacentral:rRNA from 1 species
AGAGUUUGAUCCUGGCUCAGGACGAACGCUGGCGGCGCGCUUAACACAUGCAAGUCGAGCGAGAACCAGGUCUUCGGACCUGGGGACAGCGGCGAACGGGUGAGUAACACGUGGGUAAUCUGCCCUCGAUUCUGGGAUAGCCCGGGGAAACCCGGAUUAAUACCGGAUAGCCUCUCGAGCUCUCGGGCUCGUGAGAAAAGGUAGCUUCGGCCUCCGAUCGAGGAUGAGCCCGCGGCGGAUUAGCUUGUUGGUGGGGUAAUGGCCUACCAAGGCGACGAUCCGUAGCUGGUCUGAGAGGACGAUCAGCCACACUGGGACUGAGACACGGCCCAGACUCCUACGGGAGGCAGCAGUAACGAAUCUUCCGCAAUGCACGAAAGUGUGACGGAGCGACGCCGCGUGUAGGACGAAGCCCUUCGGGGUGUAAACCACUGUCAGGGGUUGGAAAGUUCUGAUCAACCCCAGAGGAAGGGACGGCUAACUCUGUGCCAGCAGCCGCGGUAAGACAGAGGUCCCAAGCGUUAGGCGGAAUCACUGGGCUUAAAGCGUGUGUAGGCGGAUUUGUAAGUACCUUGUGAAAUCCCACGGCUUAACCGUGGAACUGCUCGGUAUACUGCUUAUCUUGAGCCACUUAGGGGCAACCGGAACAAACGGUGGAGCGGUGAAAUGCGUAGAUAUCGUUUGGAACGCCAAUGGAGAAAUCAGGUUGCUGGGAGUGUGCUGACGCUGAGACACGAAAGCCAGGGGAGCGAACGGGAUUAGAUACCCCAGUAGUCC